rnacentral:rRNA from 1 species
UACGUAGGGUGCAAGCGUUGUCCGGAAUUAUUGGGCGUAAAGAGCGUGUAGGCGGCCCGAUUAGUCCGCUGUGAAAGUCCAGGGCUCAACCCUGGAAUGCCGGUGGAUACUGUCGGGCUAGAGUCCGGAAGGGGCGAGUGGAAUUCCUGGUGUAGCGGUGGAAUGCGCAGAUAUCAGGAGGAACACCAAUAGCGAAGGCAGCUCGCUGGGACGUUACUGACACUGAGGCGCGAAAGCGUGGGGAGCGAACAGG